AUCACUUUUUUCUGAUAUUUUAUGCUAAUUUGUUAAUCAAAACAAUGUGAUGAAAAAUAUAACUUUGGUCUUACGUUUAGUGAUAAGGUGCAGUGCAAAAUAAAUUAGAAUUUGCUGGUAAAUUGACUUCUGUAUUUGAUGUAUUGGGAAGAUGCUCGCUGGCAUACCGCGACACCUCACACUGAGUUUGGUAUUUCCUUCUUGGAUUCAUGUUGUGCUGUUUACGAAGUGUUGUGUGAAGGAUUUUAGCUAAAGGAAAAGUGUGGUAAAAAAAGAACGCGAAGGGCGGAGUACCGUGUAUUUGUGCGGGAUGUGGGCUUAUCGUAACGGGACGUCGAGUUCCUCACACAAGAAACAGAUUUUAUUUUAACGCAAACUUUAAGUUGUGUCUCUGAUAAUUCCUAAUGAUAAAAUUAUUUCUACACAUGCAUUCAUUAUUUUUUUGCUGAUAGAUGUGUGUGAAUUGUAAACAUUGAUUAUAAAUAUUUGUUUCACACA